UACGUAGGGUGCAAGCGUUAAUCGGAAUUACUGGGCGUAAAGCGUGCGCAGGCGGUUGUGCAAGACCGAUGUGAAAUCCCCGGGCUUAACCUGGGAAUGGCAUUGGUGACUGCACGGCUAGAGUGUGUCAGAGGGGGGUAGAAUUCCACGUGUAGCAGUGAAAUGCGUAGAGAUGUGGAGGAAUACCGAUGGCGAAGGCCAGGCCCCCUGGGCCAAUACUGACGCUCAU
rnacentral:rRNA from 1 species